CUCAGAUAAACAGAGGAGCGUUGAAAGAGCACAUGCGACUCUCCCGUUCUUCCCGUUCUUCUUCCUGUUUUACAGUGUUCUCAAUCUCCAGAUUCCUGUCUCGAGGUCUGUUGAGUCUCUCCACAACUAAAUCACCUCGCUGAUGGGUUCUCUGUUCUUCUGAAUCAUUCUCUGAGCUUUUGUCACUGUCUGACACUUUUCCAGAAGCAUCUUCUUUCGGCAGCCUUGACUGACACAUUACUCCUUCUGAUACUGCCCUUCGCCUCCCCAGUGAGGCUCUCAAUGGAUGGUGAUCUCUUCAUCUUCCUGUAAUCAGAGGUUAGUUUUGGCCUCUGCCACGAGCCUCCCCGAUCACCUCAGAAUAUCCUUUUUUAUCACACUCAUUUCAGGUCUUUAUCAUGUAAACCCAAUCGAGUCAAAAUUUUCAUUAAUUACAUUUAAUAUUUUCUAUUUGCACUAAUGGCGGACCACACAUACUCUGCACAAGAGCCGAUAGAGCGUCAAUCUGUGUCGUCAAAAAAUAGAAAAUGCGAUGCAGCAAGGCCAAGUCGAGACAAAAAAACAGCAGAAAACCCGAAUAAACAUCAAUUUACAAAAAGUAGGGCAUGAAGCAGGAAAUGGGUUUGCUAAGCGACGCUGAAGUUGCCAGCUUUCUGCUGGACCGCUAAAGAUCUGGUGAUGAUGCUGGAAAUGUCGAAAUGCAGGAUGGUGGUAAAUUCAACAAGAGAACAGGACAUCCUUCAGGGUUCCGUGGAUGGAAUGUAUGGUGCAGGUCUGCACAGUAUUCCUAAUCUUCACACACGAUCCGUUCCCGGCCGUCCCGCUGCGCGCGGAGGUGGGUACGAUUUACCAGCCGCUUUACUUCCGCAGUUACAGGAGAGCAUGCUGCCGCCAAUGAUGGAUACAAUUUUUUGGGGGAAAAACACUGCUGACAAACAACGUUGGACGUGCAUUAGAUGAACAUUUCUCAAAACAUCUUCCUCAGAAGGAAGUGUCAUUGAACAACAUGAGGCUUGUGGCAGCAAGAGCAAGAACCCUUGUAGAGAGAAAGAAGAUCCUUGCAUGAUGCACACUGAUGGGCAAUAAUAUGAACCUUUAUUCAUUACUUUUAAUGUUAUUUUAAUACAUUCACAGGUGCAUCAGCCUGCUCAU